UUUCCUACGGGACGCAGCAGGGGGGAAUAUUGCACAAUGGGCGAAAGCCUGAUGCAGCAACGCCGCGUGAAGGAAGAAGGUCUUCGGAUCGUAAACUUCUGUCCUUGGGGAAGAUAAUGACGGUACCCUUGGAGGAAGCCCCGGCUAACUACGUGCCAGCAGCCGCGGUAAUACGUAGGGGGCAAGCGUUAUCCGGACUUAUUGGGCGUAAAGAGUGGGUAGGUGGUUACUUAAGCGCGGGGUUUAAGGCAAUGGCGCAACCAUUGUUCGCCCUGCGAACUGGGUUACU
rnacentral:rRNA from 1 species